ACAGCCAUAGGGGAUGGAACUGAUUGGAUACUACAGCCAUAGGGGAUGGAACUGAUUGGAUACUACAGCCAUAGGGGAUGGAACUGAUUGGUUACUACAGCCAUAGGAGAUGGAACUGAUUGGUUACUACAGCCAUAGGGGAUGGAACUGAUUGGAUACUACAGCCAUAGGGGAUGGAACUGAUUGGAUACUACAGCCAUAGGGGAUGGAACUGAUUGGAUACUACAGCCAUAGGGGAUGGAACUGAUUGUGAAUGCACACAGGUGCAGAUAAGAGGUCAAUCUCAGGUAAAUGUCAACAGUUGAGGAAUCAUUAAAACAGGUCAAUUAGAUCUAGAGAUUAGUUUUGUUUUGAGCUGUGUGCCUUUGCCAUAAAGCACCAUGUUGAGAUGUGUAAGAGGGUUGGAUAAGUCAUAUUCACCUUCUUAAAAGUGUUCUCCAUCUUCCUGAUGGUUGUCUUGGUCCAUUUUGGUCUAGUUGGGCACUCCACCAGCUGUACAGAGGAAGAACGCCUUGCCAGAAGAUCCUCAAAGUGUUUGGGGUACAGACCUUCCAAAGAUUUCUGGUUGAACACAUUGCCAUAGACAUCCAAUAUCUUGUUGAUUUCCC
rnacentral:lncRNA from 1 species